GAUGAACGCUGGCGGCGUGCCUAAUACAUGCGAGUCGAGCGAACAGAUGAGGAGCUUGCUCCUCUGACGUUAGCGGCGGACGGGUGAGUAACACGUGGAUAACCUACCUAUAAGACUGGGAUAACUUCGGGAAACCGGAGCUAAUACCGGAUAAUAUAUUGAACCGCAUGGUUCAAUAGUGAAAGACGGUUUUGCUGUCACUUAUAGAUGGAUCCGCGCCGCAUUAGCUAGUUGGUAAGGUAACGGCUUACCAAGGCAACGAUGCGUAGCCGACCUGAGAGGGUGAUCGGCCACACUGGAACUGAGACACGGUCCAGACUCCUACGGGAGGCAGCAGUAGGGAAUCUUCCGCAAUGGGCGAAAGCCUGACGGAGCAACGCCGCGUGAGUGAUGAAGGUCUUCGGAUCGUAAAACUCUGUUAUUAGGGAAGAACAAAUGUGUAAGUAACUAUGCACGUCUUGACGGUACCUAAUCAGAAAGCCACGGCUAACUACGUGC
rnacentral:rRNA from 1 species